GACGAACGCUGGCGGCGCGCCUAACACAUGCAAGUCGAGCGAUGAAAUUUUAACCGAUCUCUUCGGAGAGAAGAUAAAAUGGAUUAGCGGCGGACGGGUGAGUAACACGUGAGAAACCUGCCUUUCACAAGGGGAUAGCCUCGGGAAACCGGGAUUAAUACCCUCUGACACAUUUCCUUCGCAUGGAAGAAAUGUUAAAACUCCGGUGGUGAAAGAUGGUCUCGCGCCUGAUUAGCUAGUUGGUGGGGUAACGGCCCACCAAGGCCAUGAUCAGUAACCGGGCAGAGAGGGUGAACGGUCACAUUGGAACGGAGACACGGUCCAAACUCCUACGGGAGGCAGCAGUGGGGAAUAUUGCACAGUGGAGGAAACUCUGAUGCAGCGACGCCGCGUGAGCGAUGAAGGCUUUCGAGUCGUAAAGCUCUGUCCUAUGGGAAGAUAAUGACGGUACCAUAGGAGGAAGCCCCGGCUAACUACGUG
rnacentral:rRNA from 1 species